rnacentral:rRNA from 1 species
AUUGAACGCUGGCGGCAGGCCUAACACAUGCAAGUCGAACGAGUGGCGGACGGGAGAGAUAUGUCUGGGAAAUUCCCUGAUGGAGGGGGAAAACCACUGGAAACGGUAGCAAAUACCGCAUUCUAUAAGAUGUGCACAGAUGGGAUUAGCUUGUUGGUGGGGUAACGGCUCACCAAGGCGACGAUCCCUAGCUGGGCUGAGAGGAUGACCAGCCACACUGGAACUGAGACACGGUCCAGACUCCUACGGGAGGCAGCAGUGGGGAAGAUUGCACAAUGGGCGCAAGCCUGAUGCAGCCAUGCCGCGUGUAUGAAGAAGGCCUUCGGGUUGUAAAGUACUUUCAGCGGGGAGGCGUUACCCGCAGAAGAAGCACCGGCUAACUCCGUGCCAGCCGCCGCGGUAAUAC